rnacentral:rRNA from 1 species
AGUGAACGCUGGCGGUAGGCCUAACACAUGCAAGUCGAACGGCAGCAUAGGAGAGCUUGCUCUCUGGGUGGCGAGUGGCGGACGGGUGAGGAAUACAUCGGAAUCUACUCUGUCGUGGGGGAUAACGUAGGGAAACUUACGCUAAUACCGCAUACGACCUACGGGUGAAAGCAGGGGAUCUUCGGACCUUGCGCGAUUGAAUGAGCCGAUGUCGGAUUAGCUAGUUGGCGGGGUAAAGGCCCACCAAGGCGACGAUCCGUAGCUGGUCUGAGAGGAUGAUCAGCCACACUGGAACUGGGACACGGUCCAGACUCCUACGGGAGGCAGCAGUGGGGAAUAUUGGACAAUGGGCGCAAGCCUGAUCCAGCCAUACCGCGUGGGUGAAGAAGGCCUUCGGGUUGUAAAGCCCUUUUGUUGGGAAAGAAAUCCAGCUGGCUAAUACCCGGUUGGGAUGACGGUACCCAAAGAAUAAGCACCGGCUAACUUCGUGCCAGCCGCCGCCGUAA